AUGGUUGGGGUCACAAGGGAUAUACAGGGAGAUAUCCCAUGGUGUAUGCUCUUUGCGGAUGAUGUGGUGCUAGUUGACGAUAGUCGGACGGGGGUAAAUAGGAAGUUAAAGUUAUGGAGACAAACCUUGGAAUCGAAAGGGUUUAGGCUUAGUAGAACUAAAAAUGAGUACAUGAUGUGCGGUUUCAGUACUACUAGGUGUGAGGAGGAGGAGGUUAGCCUUGAUGGCCUGCUGGUACCUCAGAAGGACACCUUUCGGUAUUUGGGGUCAAUGCUGCAGGAGGAUGGGGGUAUUGAUGAAGAUGUGAACCAUCGAAUCAAAGUCGGAUGGAUGAAGUGGCGCCAAGCUUCUGGCAUUCUCUGUGACAAGAGAGUGCCACAAAAGAUAAGAGGCAAGUUCUACAGGACGGCGGUUCGACCCGCAAUGUUAUAUAGCGCUGAAUGUUGGCCGACUAAAAGGCGACAUGUUCAACAGUUAGGUGUGGCGGAGAUGUGUAUGUUGAGAUGGAUAUGUGGCCACACGAGUAAGGAUCGAGUCCGGAAUGAUGAUAUACGAGAUAGAGUUGGUGAUGUAGGGCGGAACCCUAGUUGCCGAUCUUUCACGUUUGGAGGGGAAUCCUACCAAGAACACGAAGAACAAACAGAGGGAAGCGAGAGGAAAACAUGA
rnacentral:rRNA from 1 species